rnacentral:ncRNA from 1 species
CAUCGCGAGGUGGAAUCUGAAGGAAGCCGGAUAGCAAACCUCUGGUCUGACGAACAGAAAUCGCAUAAGGCCUGUUAACUGGGUAAGGUUGCCAUUCAAACCAAAGCCCUAAAGCUAUACGGAAGGUUAGUGGGUAGAUGCGACAGGUAGAUGGAGGGAAAGAGA